rnacentral:piRNA from 1 species
CUGGCUUGACGAUGAUGUGAGUGUCCAGCC